rnacentral:tRNA from 1 species
GGGGAUGUGGCUCAGUGGUGGAGCGCUCGCCUAGCAUGUGUGAGAUCCUGGGUUCCAUCCUCAGCACCACA